UAUAGCAGGUGGCGAGAUAGCCUG
rnacentral:siRNA from 1 species